rnacentral:rRNA from 1 species
UACGGAGGGUGCAAGCGUUAAUCGGAAUUACUGGGCGUAAAGCGCGCGUAGGCGGCUCGGUCAGUCGGGUGUGAAAUCCCUGGGCCCAACCUGGGAACUGCAUUCGAUACUGCCGAGCUAGAGUGUGGGAGAGGGUAGUGGAAUUCCCGGUGUAGCGGUGAAAUGCGUAGAUAUCGGGAGGAACAUCAGUGGCGAAGGCGACUGCCUGGCCCAACACUGACGCUGAGGUGCGAAAGCGUGGGUAGCAAACAGG